AGCGAACGCUGGCGGCAGGCCUAACACAUGCAAGUCGAACGAACUCUUCGGAGUUAGUGGCGGACGGGUGAGUAACACGUGGGAACGUGCCUUUAGGUUCGGAAUAACUCAGGGAAACUUGUGCUAAUACCGAAUGUGCCCUUCGGGGGAAAGAUUUAUCGCCUUUAGAGCGGCCCGCGUCUGAUUAGCUAGUUGGUGAGGUAAAGGCUCACCAAGGCGACGAUCAGUAGCUGGUCUGAGAGGAUGAUCAGCCACAUUGGGACUGAGACACGGCCCAAACUCCUACGGGAGGCAGCAGUGGGGAAUCUUGCGCAAUGGGCGAAAGCCUGACGCAGCCAUGCCGCGUGAAUGAUGAAGGUAUUAGGAUUGUAAAAUUCUUUCACCGGGGACGAUAAUGACGGUACCCGGAGAAGAAGCCCCGGCUAACUUCGUG
rnacentral:rRNA from 1 species